rnacentral:rRNA from 1 species
AGGACGAACGCUGGCGGCGUGCUUAACACAUGCAAGUCGAGCGGAAAGGCCCUUCGGGGUACUCGAGCGGCGAACGGGUGAGUAACACGUGAGUAAUCUGCCCCUAGCUCUGGGAUAGCUCCGGGAAAACCGGGAUUAAUACCGGAUACGACUGCUACGGACAUCUGUGGUGGUGGAAAGAACUUCGGCUAGGGAUGAGCUCGCGGCCUAUCAGCUUGUGGUGGGUAACGCCUACAAGGCGACGACGGGUA